AUGGCGUCGUUCGCCGGCGUAUCCGUCCUGGACGACGGCGGGCUGUGCCCAGUCACCGAGUCGCCCGUCGAAACCAGCACGGACUGCGGGUACCACCUGCUCGUGGUCCAAGACUACUCGGGUGUCAAAGACAAGACGCCCACCGGCGAGAGCGUCGCAUCCCGCCCUUUCAUGGUAGGAGGCCAUCAUUGGAUCAUCAGGUACUACCCCAACGGUGAAAGCCAGAGCUGCGCCGACUUCAUUUCCCUCUAUGUUGCCCGUCUCCACGACGACGACGACGAUGACAGCAACAAGAAGCCCGUGGAAGCCAAGUUCGGUCUCAAUUUCGUCGACCAAGUUGAGAGGCAGAAUCCGGUCUACUUUCGUCAGGCGGAGACGUACAACUUCACCGGUUCUUCCUGA
rnacentral:rRNA from 1 species